rnacentral:rRNA from 1 species
UAAUACCGGAUAAUAUUUUGAACCGCAUGGUUCAAAAGUGAAAGACGGUCUUGCUGUCACUUAUAGAUGGAUCCGCGCUGCAUUAGCUAGUUGGUAAGGUAACGGCUUACCAAGGCAACGAUGCAUAGCCGACCUGAGAGGGUGAUCGGCCACACUGGAACUGAGACACGGUCCAGACUCCUACGGGAGGCAGCAGUAGGGAAUCUUCCGCAAUGGGCGAAAGCCUGACGGAGCAACGCCGCGUGAGUGAUGAAGGUCUUCGGAUCGUAAAACUCUGUUAUUAGGGAAGAACAUAUGUGUAAGUAACUGUGCACAUCUUGACGGUACCUAAUCAGAAAGCCACGGCUAACUACGUGCCAGCAGCCGCGGUAAUACGUAGGUGGCAAGCGUUAUCCGGAAUUAUUGGGCGUAAAGCGCGCGUAGGCGGUUUUUUAAGUCUGAUGUGAAAGCCCACGGCUCAACCGUGGAGGGUCAUUGGAAACUGGAAAACUUGAGUGCAGAAGAGGAAAGUGGAAUUCCAUGUGUAGCGGUGAAAUGCGCAGAGAUAUGGAGGAACACCAGUGGCGAAGGCGACUUUCUGGUCUGUAACUGACGCUGAUGUGCGAAAGCGUGGGGAUCAAACAGGAUUAGAUAC